GACAGGCUACUGCUGGAGCUCCGGGCAUGAAUCAGGGAAAUUGGCCGAGAGGUGGCCAACCAGCAGCUGCUGGUGAGACGCCAGAAAUCAGCUAAACUUAUCCCCAGCCGCCUGCACUCCAGGUUUAUCAAGGAGGCCCCGGACCUCAUUGAAAGCACACUUGAUGCCCUGGAGGAACACCCCCUACAUCGCGACACAGUAGCCAGAUACUUUGGCCUAGUAUCUGGCUACCUGAUCACCACCACCGGCCACCGAAAAGGGGUCCUGGUUAACCUGACUGUCAAAGCAGUCAGGGAGGCCAAGGGGCACGGGCUGGGCGGCAGGCUGGUCCACGUAAGUUACUUAAUAUUUUAUAAAAAAAAAAAAUAACAAAACACAAGAGUUGUUUCUUUAUUUGUUCAUUUCGUUACAGAUCUCGGAUCACAAAACACGCCGCAAAUUUAGUCCAGCCACCCUUGCUCUGACUGAGCAAGAGCAUGGGUGGCUGGACCGCUAUUUGCGCCAGAGACACCGUGUGGAUGGUGGCCUCAAGGCCACCACUUUUUUCCAUACGUGGUCGGAGCAACCCCAUGUGAAGCUCCCAGACCUUUUUAAAACGGUCUGGGAGAGCAUGGGGCUUGGGGUUACCCCGACCUUCAACCUGCUGCGAUCCUCCGUGGCCACAUAUACCAAAAGGGAGCUGGGCCGUAGGGCAUAUGAGCGUGUGGCCGCGCUCAUGUGCCACGACCCA